rnacentral:rRNA from 1 species
UACGGGGGGGGCAAGCGUUGUUCGGAAUUACUGGGCGUAAAGGGCUCGUAGGUGGCCAACUAAGUCAGACGUGAAAUCCCUCGGCUUAACCGGGGAACUGCGUCUGAUACUGGAUGGCUUGAGUUUGGGAGAGGGAUGCGGAAUUCCAGGUGUAGCGGUGAAAUGCGUAGAUAUCUGGAGGAACACCGGUGGCGAAAGCGGCUCACUGGGACUCUUCUGACGCUGAGGCACGAAAGCUAGGGGAGCGAACGGG